AAUUCUGGAUGGCAUGGGUCAUGGAGCAAAUAAACUAUACUUAGGCUACUGAGUUUCACAAAGCUAUCUGGUUUUAUGUUACUGUGUUAUUCAGAUUCAUCUUAAAUUGAAAUUAUCACAAAAUAUUCAUUUGCAUUUUCAUUAUUGGGUAUAGUCUACUUAUUUUUUCAUCAAAGCAUUUAAAUGUUGUAUUUGUUUGUUUCAGGACUCAUGCCCGUUGCACAGCAGCCGGUUUAUUGUGCUUCAAAGCAUGGCAUAGUUGGAUUCACACGCUCAGCAGCGUUGGCUGCUAAUCUUAUGAACAGUGGUGUGAGACUGAAUGCCAUUUGUCCAGGCUUUGUUAACACAGCCAUCCUUGAAUCAAUUGAAAAAGAAGAAAACAUGGGACAAUAUAUAGAAUAUAAGGAUCAUAUCAAGGAUAUGAUUAAAUACUAUGGAAUUUUGGACCCACCAUUGAUUGCCAAUGGAUUGAUAACACUCAUUGAAGAUGAUGCUUUAAAUGGUGCUAUUAUGAAGAUCACAACUUCUAAGGGAAUUCAUUUUCAAGACUAUGAUACAACUCCAUUUCAAGCAAAAACCCAAUGAACAGCUUAUGUGUUAGCCAUAGCUGAAAAUAAGCACAAUAGCUUAUAUUCAGAUCCUAUCUUCAUUUGAAUAUAGCUUUUAAAUGAAAUGUUACAGUUUGAAGUUUUCCUUCAUGCACUUGGUGAUAAACGUUUUCUAAAUUUUUAGUUAAGUAUAUGGAUAAAAAGUUAUGAACUAUUAAAAAUGUGAUGUGGACCAAA
rnacentral:sRNA from 1 species